rnacentral:rRNA from 1 species
AACGAACGCUGGCGGCAGGCUUAACACAUGCAAGUCGAACGGGUGUAGCAAUACAUCAGUGGCAGACGGGUGAGUAACACGUGGGAACCUUCCUAGGGGUACGGAACAACUCAGGGAAACUUGAGCUAAUACCGUAUACGUCCGUGAGGAGAAAGAUUUAUCGCCCUUAGACGGGCCCGCGUCGGAUUAGGUAGUUGGUGGGGUAACGGCCUACCAAGCCUACGAUCCGUAGCUGAUCUGAGAGUUUGAUCAGCCACACUGGGACUGAGACACGGCCCAGACUCCUACGGGAGGCAGCAGUGGGGAAUCUUGGACAAUGGGCGCAAGCCUGAUCCAGCCAUGCCGCGUGAGUGAAGAAGGCCUUAGGGUUGUAAAGCUCUUUUACCAGGGACGAUAAUGACGGUACCUGGAGAAUAAGCCCCGGCAAACUUCGUGCCAGCCGCCGCCGUAACAC